UUGUAGGAGAGCUGGGUGCAAAAAGCCCGACGAAAGCAAUCUGCGCUAAAUUCUGGUGCCAGCAGGCGCGGUAAUACCAGGGCAGCGAGCCCACCAGAUUGUUACUGCGAUUAAAGGUUCCUAGCCUGCCUAUAGGCGUGUGCGAUGCUUUCCGUAAGGGAGUAUCUGUGUGCGCCAGACUGGGGGACUGCGCUUGAAUCUAAGUGCCUAAGGUGCCGUGUUGCCCAAGCUGCCUUCGGGUGGUGCGGGCUGCGGAGGGUCCGCGCACUAUCCCCCUUUCUUAGGAAUGGCAAGGAGAAGUUCGACGAUGGGAGUAUUGGUUGACGAGAGGUGGAAUACGCUGACUCAACCAGGACUACCGGUGGCGAAAGCGCCCAUCGAGGACUUGCUCGUCGGCCAAGGACCAAAGUUGGGGUAUCGAAAACGAUUAGAGACCGUUGUAGUCCCAACCACAAACUUUGCUGACUGGCUCUGUGGUGUUCUGCGCUUCGGCCAGAGGACGCUGCGGGGCCUAGGCGAAAGCAUAGUCUUCGAGUCACGUGGAGAGUAUGCCCGCAAGAGUGAAAUUUAAAAGAGUUGGCGGAAUCCCAUACAUGAACUGGGACGUACGGCUUAAUUUGAUUCAACACGGGGCAACUUACCAGGGCCUCGGCAUUAGUGAGUCGCCUCCCUUUUGGGAUUAGGUUGAAUUCCGGCGACGAUUAUGUCUGGGGUUGUGCAUGGCCCCCCGAGGCCGAUGGAGUGAUUUUUUGGGUUAAAUCCGUGAAUCGGCGAGAUCCUCUCCCUCAGUUCCGAGCAGCAAUGCGAGGCUGAGAGAACCGGCCGCGUAAGCGGCAGGCGGGACGGGUUAAGGUAGGUCCGUGAUGCAUUUUUACGUCCUGGGCGGCCCGUGCGUCACAAUGCCGAGUGAAGGCCGUUGCUGUCCCGAAGGGGAUGGCGAAUCGGCAAAGCUCGGCGUAGUGGGGAUUGUAGGCUGCAAA
rnacentral:rRNA from 1 species